UCCUGCCUCUCUGCUCCCAGCCGUUAAGAGGCCAGUGUUGAUCAGUGUGUGUCCAGGCCUUUCAGAGCCACUGACACGCCGGCAGCACAAUGAUGAUGUCUCUGACUCUACUGCUGGCCACCCUGGGGCUCCUUGUUCAGGGUUCAUCAGCAGACAUCACCGUGUCUCAGUCUCCUGAAUCUCAGUCUGUUGUUCCAGGUCAGACUGUCUCUAUCAGAUGUAAAACCAGUUCACAUGCUGGCAGUGAGGUAGACUGGUACCUUCAGAAACCUGGAGAAGCUCCUAAACUCCUGAUUUAUCAUGUUACAACUCGUCAGUCUGGAGUUUCAGAUCGUUUCAGUGGCAGUGGAUCUGGAACUGACUUCACUCUGACCAUCAGCAGAGUCCAGACUGAAGAUGCAGGAGUUUAUUACUGUCAGCAGGAUUACAGCUUCCCGCUCACACAGUGAUACAACGUCGUACAAAAACCUCCCUCAGCUGCAGAGGAACUGAUCUGAAUCAACAGCUGCACAAAACUAAACCCACAGACGUUUGCACAAAAGUACAUUUUACAGCAAAGUACAUUAAAAACAUAACACAGUCACAGAGGAAAACAUGUUGGAAAGUCAG